rnacentral:tRNA from 1 species
GUACCCUUAGCUCAGUCGGAUAGAGCGCAAGCCUCCGGAGCUUGAGGCCGCAGGUUCGAAUCCUGUAGGGUACG